rfam:Dialister sp. CAG:357 genomic scaffold, scf41
GGGGAUGUACCGGUUUCGACAGGAGAUUCUGGUUCAUAAACAGCGAGUCGGGAUUUCAUCUACCCCGUUAAACGGUGAAAAAACUUAAACGCAAAACGUGAUUUUGCUUUAGCAGCUUAAUCUGCUAAUGUCCCCUGGCGUUUUCCUAUGACCUCAGGCUGACAUCAACCAAUAGGAUACCAAUGAAGGAAGUCCGGGACUUCUGCGGAAAACUAAUUCUGGAAUCGGCAAAGGUAGUUUGUUCCUGUACGAUACUUUGCUUAAACUCUAAAACAGUAACUGCACUCGGAGAAAUUUAUGGGACAGGCUUUUUGGACAGGGGUUCGACUCCCCUCAUCUCCACCA